AGGAUGAACGCUAGCGGCAGGCCUAACACAUGCAAGUCGAGGGGUAACGAUUUCGAGCAAUCGAAAGGCGACGACCGGCGCACGGGUGAGUAACGCGUAUGCAACCUGCCUCUAACUGGAGAAUAGGUCCCGGAAACGGGAAUUAAUACUCCAUAACAUUGCGAGACCGCAUGGUUUUGCAAUUAAAGCUCCGGCGGUUAGAGAUGGGCAUGCGUGACAUUAGUUUGUUGGUGAGGUAACGGCUCACCAAGACUAUGAUGUCUAGGGGGUCUGAGAGGAUGGUCCCCCACACUGGUACUGAGACACGGACCAGACUCCUACGGGAGGCAGCAGUGAGGAAUAUUGGGCAAUGGACGCAAGUCUGACCCAGCCAUGCCGCGUGCAGGAUGACGGCCCUAUGGGUUGUAAACUGCUUUUAUUUGGGAAGAACUCCCCGGACGUGUCCGGGGCUGACGGUACCAAAAGAAUAAGCAUCGGCUAACUCCGUGCCAGCAGCCGCGGUAAUACGGAGGAUGCAAGCGUUAUCCGGAUUUAUUGGGUUUAAAGGGUGCGUAGGCGGGAAAUUAAGUCAGUGGUGAAAUCCUACAGCUUAACUGUAGAACUGCCAUUGAAACUGAUUUUCUUGAGUAUAGUUGAGGUGGGCGGAACGUAUAAUGUAGCGGUGAAAUGCUUAGAUAUUAUACAGAACACCGAUUGCGUAGGCAGCUCACUAAACUAUUACUGACGCUCAGGCACGAAAGCGUGGGUAGCGAACAGGAUUAGAUACCCUGGUAGUCCACGCCGUAAACGAUGAUCACUCGUUGUUGGCGAUACACAGUCAGCGACUAAGCAAAAGCAUUAAGUGAUCCACCUGGGGAGUACGAUCGC
rnacentral:rRNA from 1 species